rnacentral:rRNA from 1 species
GUGAACGCUGGCGGUAGGCCUAACACAUGCACGUCGCACGGCAGCACAGUAAGAGCUUGCUCUUACGGGUGGCGAGUGGCGGACGGGUGAGGAAUACAUCGGAAUCUACUUUUUCGUGGGGGAUAACGUAGGGAAACUUACGCUAAUACCGCAUACGACCUACGGGUGAAAGCAGGGGAUCUUCGGACCUUGCGCGAUUGAGUGAGCCGAUGUCGGAUUAGCUAGUUGGCGGGGUAAAGGCCCACCAAGGCGACGAUCCGUAGCUGGUCUGAGAGGAUGAUCAGCCACACUGGAACUGAGACACGGUCCAGACUCCUACGGGAGGCAGCAGUGGGGAAUAUUGGACAAUGGGCGCAAGCCUGAUCCAGCCAUACCGCGUGGGUGAAGAAGGCCUUCGGGUUGUAAAGCCCUUUUGUUGGGAAAGAAAAGCAGCAGGUUAAUACCCCGCUGUUCUGACGGUACCCAAAGAAUAAGCACCGGCUAACUUCGUG